UGGUGGGUAGUUUGACUGGGGCGGUCUCCUCCUAAAGAGUAACGGAGGAGCACGAAGGUUGGCUAAUCCUGGUCGGACAUCAGGAGGUUAGUGCAAUGGCAUAAGCCAGCUUGACUGCGAGCGUGACGGCGCGAGCAGGUGCGAAAGCAGGUCAUAGUGAUCCGGUGGUUCUGAAUGGAAGGGCCAUCGCUCAACGGAUAAAAGGUACUCCGGGGAUAACAGGCUGAUACCGCCCAAGAGUUCAUAUCGACGGCGGUGUUUGGCACCUCGAUGUCGGCUCAUCACAUCCUGGGGCUGAAGUAGGUCCCAAGGGUAUGGCUGUUCGCCAUUUAAAGUGGUACGCGAGCUGGGUUUAGAACGUCGUGAGACAGUUCGGUCCCUAUCUGCCGUGGGCGCUGGAGAACUGAGGGGGGCUGCUCCUAGUACGAGAGGACCGGAGUGGACGCAUCACUGGUGUUCGGGUUGUCAUGCCAAUGGCACUGCCCGGUAGCUAAAUGCGGAAGAGAUAAGUGCUGAAAGCAUCUAAGCACGAAACUUGCCCCGAGAUGAGUUCUCCCUGAGACUUUAGGUCUCCUGAAGGAACGUUGAAGACGACGACGUUGAUAGGCC
rnacentral:rRNA from 1 species